GAUGAAGAACGCAGCGAAAUGCGAUACUUGGUGUGAAUUGCAGAAUCCCGCGAAUCAUCGAGUUUUUGAACGCAAGUUGCGCCCGAAGCCAUUCGGCCGAGGGCACGUCUGCCUGGGUGUCACGCAUCGUUGCCCCCCCAAACUCCGGUUCGGGCGGGGCGGAAGUUGGCCUCCCGUGCGUGCCUGCGCGCGCGGUUAGCCCAAAAGCGAGUCCUCGGCGAUGAGCGCCACGACAAUCGGUGGUUUUUUUACCCUCGUUCCUCGUCGUGCGUGCCCCGUCGCCCGAACGCGCUCUUGCAACCCUUACGCCUCGCCUCGGUGGCGCUCCCAACGCGACCCCAGGUCAGGCGGGACUACCCGCUGAGUUUAAGCAUAUCAAUAAGCGGAGGA
rnacentral:misc_RNA from 1 species